rnacentral:rRNA from 1 species
CAAAGGAAUUGACGGGGCCGCACAAGCGGUGGAGCAUGUGGUUUAAUUCGACGCAACGCGAAGAACCUUACCUGGGCUUGACAUCUGCGGAAUUUCUAUGAAAGUAGGAAGUGCCCUUCGGGGAGCCGCAAGACAGGUGCUGCAUGGCUGUCGUCAGCUCGUGUCGUGAGAUGUUGGGUUAAGUCCCGCAACGAGCGCAACCCUUGUCUUUAGUUGCCAUCAUUCAGUUGGGCACUCUAAAGAGACUGCCGGUGUCAAACCGGAGGAAGGUGGGGAUGACGUCAAGUCCUCAUGGCCUUUAUGACCAGGGCUACACACGUACUACAAUGGCCGGUACAAAGGGCAGCCACUUAGCGAUAAGGAGCCAAUCCCGUAAAGCCGGUCUCAGUCCGGAUUGGAGUCUGCAACUCGACUCCAUGAAGUUGGAAUCGCUAGUAAUCGCAGAUCAGCACGCUGCGGUGAAUACGUUCCCGGGCCUU